rnacentral:rRNA from 1 species
CCUACGGGAGACAGCAGUGAGGAAUAUUGGUCAAUGGACGCAAGUCUGAACCAGCCAUGCCGCGUGCAGGAUGACGGCUCUAUGAGUUGUAAACUGCUUUUGUACGAGGGUAAACCCCGAUACGUGUAUCGGGUUGAAAGUAUCGUACGAAUAAGGAUCGGCUAACUCCGUGCCAGCAGCCGCGGUAAUACGGAGGAUCCGAGCGUUAUCCGGAUUUAUUGGGUUUAAAGGGUGCGUAGGCGGUUUGAUAAGUUAGAGGUGAAAUGUCGGGGCUCAACCCCGAAACUGCCUCUAAUACGGUUGGAUGAGAGAAUAGUUGCGGUAGGCGGAAUGUAUGGUGUAGCGGUGAAAGGCUUAGAGAUCAUACAGAACACCGAUUGCGAAGGCAGCUUACCAAACUAUAUCUGACGUUGAGGCACGAAAGCGUGGGUAGCAAACAGGAUUAGAUACCCCAGUAGUC